rnacentral:lncRNA from 12 species
CUCCUCAGCCCCGGGUGUGCCGGGGCGUGCGUUCCUGGGUGAAUGUCCUUCGGACCGCCCACCUGCACGCUCCCGGCCGAGGUGGCUUGAUGCUUUGUGUUCCGCUUGCUCCGGGGAAGCCACUCUGCUGCCUCUCCAAAGGAGCCUGACCGACUCCGGGCGGCCUCCUCCUACAGAAAUUACAUCACAGUUUGGGCUCUAUUUUUAGAAUCCCCAGUUAAUUCAGAUUGCAAUUACCGGCCACCCCUGGACCUUCUCCAUUUUAAUUCCAACCCCCAUUUAAAGAAAGUGGGGGAGGGGGAGGGUGAUAUUUAAUCCUUCCAAUUAGUAUUUUGCAAGAGCAAUCACUUUGCGUCCCCAGUCUGUGUGGGGCUGGGGCAAUUACCAAGGGCCACGUUACGUCGGACGGUGGCUAAAAGAACCACUUUGAGCCAUGUCACUGGGGACAGUCCCUGCAAAACCAGAAUGUCUAGUCACUUUGACCUACAGCAAAAUGUAUCAAAUAACUAGGACAAGUGCUACUGCAAACAACUGAUCAGUCUUCAAAGCCCAGCGCAACCUCUGGAAGGGCCUGAGGACGUGAGUGAUGAGAGGGACAGCGCUCUGGCCAAUUUGCGGAAUUCCGGACUUUGCACAACCAGCACCACCGUUUCUGCCCGGGGAAGGGUGACACCAGCCCCCAGACACUGCCGCGGGGAGCCAGACUCAGGGCCACCCAGUGGGCGAGGCCCGGCUUUCGGCCAGCAGGUGCUCAUCGUGGUCAGGGCACGGAGCAGGAGAAAAUCCCCAGUCAGCAACCGGGUGCCUUCUAACCUUCCAUCGGAACAAUUGUGCUAAAUAAAGAGCAGUGGGCAGCCCGGGGCUCACCGGCUGGUCUGGGUAGGUGAGAUUAUCAGGUAGAUCAAGACAGCGAUUGAGAAAAAUAACAGACCAGCCAUUGUCCCUGCGCUGUCACUGCGGCAGCCCCUGGGCUCCGCGCUCUGCAAGUAGUAGCCUACUGGACACCUCGGGAGCCCCGCGACAGCUGGAUCAGGAUCCCCGUUUUCCAAAUAAAGAA